AUUUUCGCCGGCAGGGGUAUUUUAGUAAUUUGAAUUAGCUGCAGGUAUUUUAUGUUUAUGGUAAUUUUCAGUUUAGUAGUUAUUUUUGGUAAUUAGUAUUUUAGUUGUUAUAGAGAAUAAGAAAGCUUAGGCCUUGUUUAGAUUGCAGUUUUCCAUCGGAAAAUUACGUUGUUUUCCGUGAUCACAUUUCCCUAUUACCUUUUUCUCUCACAUACAUCAAAUCGCUACAGUAAUUUUUUUCAUGAAAAAUCAUGGAAAAUGCAAUCCAAACACAACCUUAGCUUUCUUGCAUUCUACUAGAAUUCUAUUCUAGUGAGGAGUCCUAAUUAGGAUUGGAAUGAGCUUUGUUCUAAGGUCUAUAAAUAACCACUUCUCUACAAAGAGAAAUCAGUGUUUUGGUCAUUAAUAAAAUUUUCCUGCAGACUUAACGUCUUCCUUAGGGCUGUGUGAUACAUCCCCACUUUAGGUGUGAGGCCUAAAGAUUCCUAGGAGUGAUUCCUAGAAUUAC
rnacentral:lncRNA from 1 species